rnacentral:lncRNA from 1 species
CGGAGGGGCGCGCGCGGGGGCCCGAGGGGCGAAGGCGCGAGUGCGCGAGAGCGCGUGCGCGAGCGGUGGGGCUUUCUCCUGAGCCGUCGGAGGGAGCCGGAGCGCUUCUCCCGAGCUAGUCUACACACAUGGAUGGGACUAUGGAAAUGUACAUGUGACUUUUAAACCUGAACAGUAGCUGUUGGUGAUAGAUUGGUGGUCAUCCAACAUGCAGAAAUGAAUGAGCAGUGAAAAGCAGCAGAGCCGAUGGGUCAUGAGGAUGUAAGUGCGUUUGAAGGCUUCCACACCCUCUACUCCAGGACAGAAUCAUGAAUAAACUGGAGGAUAAGCAGGACCAGAUGAUACCAUGAAGAGAAGUUUACAGGCCCUCUAUUGCCAACUGUUAAGUUCCCCCAAAUAAUUGGGAGUGGUUGGA